AGCUCAGUGGUAGAGCAAAUGCUUAGCAUGCAUAAGGUCCUGGGUUCGAUCCACAG
rnacentral:tRNA from 1 species